AUUGAACGCUGGCGGCAGGCUUAACACAUGCAAGUCGAACGAGUGGCGGACGGGUGAGUAAUGCUUGGGAAUCUAGCUUAUGGAGGGGGAUAACUACGGGAAACUGUAGCUAAUACCGCGUACCAUAGGAUGAGCCCAAGUGGGAUUAGGUAGUUGGUGAGGUAAAGGCUCACCAAGCCGACGAUCCCUAGCUGGUCUGAGAGGAUGAUCAGCCAACCUGGGACUAGGAACCGGCCCAAACUCCAUAGGGAGGGAGCAGUGGGGGAAAAUGCAAAAGUGGUGGAAGCCUGAUGCAGCCCAGCCGGGUGUAUUAAGAAGGCCUUAAGGUGGUAAAAUACUUUCAGGGGGGAGGCGUUACCCGCAGAAGAAGGAACGGCUAACUCCGUUGCAGCAGCCGCGGUAAUAC
rnacentral:rRNA from 1 species